rnacentral:rRNA from 1 species
UACGUAGGGGGCUAGCGUUGUCCGGAUUUAUUGGGCGUAAAGAGCGUGUAGGCGGCCAUGUAGGUCCGGUGUGAAAACUCGAGGCUUAACCUCGAGAUGUCAUCGGAAACCAUUUGGCUAGAGUCCGGAAGAGGAGAGUGGAAUUCCUGGUGUAGCGGUGAAAUGCGCAGAUAUCAGGAAGAACACCAAUGGCGAAGGCAGCUUGCUGGGACGGUACUGACGCUGAGACGCGAAAGCGUGGGGAGCAAACAGG